rnacentral:lncRNA from 1 species
UUUUUUGAGAGAUAGGUAGCAUACUAUCCGAUUUGUUUAUUUCAUUUAGAAAUAAACAUAGUUGGAAAUGUGAAUCAACUAGAAUUUGAACUUGGAACCUCGGAUACCGACAACCAAAUUUUUUGCCACUUGCUCUAGAGAUGUGCACAGCCUCUUAUUAGUCAACAGUAGUGGACAUUUAGUAAUAAAUCGUACUCAACCACUCA